GCUAAGAGCAUUGUGGCAAGUGGACUUGCCAGAAGGUGCAUUGUGCAAGUGUCUUAUGCCAUUGGUGUGCCUGAGCCUUUGUCUGUGUUUGUUGACACCUAUGGCACUGGAAAGAUCCCUGACAAGGAGAUCCUUAACAUUGUGAAGGAGAACUUUGAUUUCAGGCCUGGUAUGAUCUCCAUCAACCUUGAUCUCAAGAGGGGUGGAAAUAACAGGUUUUUGAAGACUGCUGCAUAUGGACACUUUGGAAGAGAGGACCCUGACUUCACAUGGGAAGUGAUCAAGCCACUCAAGUGGGAGGAGGCCUAAGGCCAUUCAUUCCUCACCGCUGUGUGCUGGGAGUUUUUUGAGCUUUGCCCUUAUCAUAUCUAUAAUUUGUUUCAUUUAUUUUACUUAAUUCGUGUGUGCUUCUCACUUUCUCUUCCUCCUCUCCAUUCUAUUUUGUUUCUUCUAUCCUCAUAUGUAAUUUUUUUACAUGAUCAAUUAAACGUGAUACAAAAUUAUUCUUAAUUAGCACGUGUCCUUGUUUCUAGUCCCUUUACUUUUGAAUGUCUAUGUCUACACAUACAUAUAGGACGUUUUACUUUUAUAUGUGUGUCAGCUUGGUUGGAAUUCUGUGGUAUCCGUUUAUCAGUUAGUUCAGGUGCACACAAAUGCGACAAUUAGUUGGUAAAACUGCAAGAGAUUUUGCAAAUAUCAUACAAAUAAUAACAAUAAAUAGUUUGUCGUUUUCAUGCUGCUGGUUUGAUCUUCGCAGUUCACACUGAUCAAACUAAACAACGGUGUUUGGUAAUAUUCAACCUUCUCUCUUUCAAACCUUACUACUAACCUCGUGCGUUGGGUAACAUUAGGCUUCCAACUUAUCUGUUUUCUUUGCCAUAACUUGUUGCCAAAGAGUGUUUGUUCAUAAUAAGUGUUGGAGAUAUAAGAGUGUUGGAAAAGUUUAUUUGCCAUAACUUGUUGCCAUAAAGAGUUGAAGUAACCUCUUGAUAGGAAAAUGGCUCAAGACAAGCUGUGAAUAGAAGUCAGAAAACAAGCAAAUGAAGUAGAGUAAGUGGAAUAAACAAAGUCCAAUAGUUUAGUGAACUUAUAAUCAUGUUGAGAAUGAGAAGGAUCCACCCUCACAAAAAAGGUUAUUGCCUAAUUAAUAGUAGGGAUUGAAGAAGUAUCAAUAAUCAAUAAGAGGGACAUUUGGAUUGACACAAACUAUUAGUAUAAAAAAAAAAUGUAAAACUAAAUGGACAACAAUCUAAGAAAGCGAGUAUGUGUUGUACUCGGAAAACAUAACAUAAUGUGAUUUUGAUUGUGGAAACUGAAAACAAUAACAUUUAAGUUUUAUUUAUCUCUUUGCCUAACAAUUUUUUUAAUUACUUUUUUUAUAGUUUUUAUGAUGAAGAUAAUUAAUAUUUUUUACAAAUAUUAUAUUUUCCUUUUUACCAUCUUUGAAGAUAAUUGCUUUUUUUUCCAAUUUAGACAAAUAUUUGAGUAUCAAUGAUAUUCCUUUUUAAUCCAUUAUUGCAAUUUAAAAGACCAUCAAUGAUUACAUUUUCAAUCAAAUGACUUUAUUAGUCUUCACUUUACAUCGAUUUAAAUCAAACUAAUAAUUUUGUAUGGACUAAAUCUCUGAACAUUUUUAUAUUUACAACAUAUUUUAACAUUUAUUAAAUAAUUAGUAUUUAAUACUAUUAGUAGAAUAAUGGGAGUAGCAGGAGGGAGGCACUGAGAGAAUAGAGAUGGCAUGGAAGUAAGCAAUCAAGUCAAAAUCAGAGUUGGCCAACCCCAAAGGCUGUAGUAGGUAAGCAUGGCCCAUUUUAGUUUUUACAUUCAUCUCUCAUUUUCACCUCAACGGUUCAGAUUCAAUCUGACUCCCCGAUCUCAGCCGUGGAUUCAAAUGCCACCUCAGGCACAUGCAAUUCCAAAUGGAUGAACCUAACCCACAAUCUAAUCUUGUUACUUAGGGGCUUUUCCGUCAUUAAAUGACACCACCUACCCCCUUCUCCCUAUAAAUGGCAACUCAAUGCCCCCCUUAGAACUCGCAGCGCUUGAUUUGAGGCCAGGCAAGCCCCACUCAACCACCACACCUCUCCUCGUUCACGCUACCCCUUUCUGCUCUUCUUCUACCUUUCAAGGUACUCUUCUUUCCCUCUGUUGCUGCAACCUUCUCUUUCUUUAAGAUUGCCUCAAUUUCGGAUCUUGCACCUCUGGGUUGCUUUGCUUUGCUUUUUCCUCUACUGGGUUGAUUUCUGUUUCCCUAAACCGGUUUAGACGAAUGUGAACACUACUUCUUUUGUUUAAUUACUCUGGAAUACGUGUUAGGCUUUCAGAUCUAGUUGAAAUCGUAUUGCACUUUUAGGGGGAGUUUGGAUUUCUAAUAAGAAAUUGACCUUUUGCUGAGAAUUGGUUCGGUGAUUAGAGGGUUUCCGUAAAUUUUUGAAGUUUUACAUGCUUGUAUCUGUUUAUUUUUGUUUCUCACAUCUAUUAUUGUUAGGUGAAGGAAAUUAUGUAUUGAGAGUCUGUCUGAUACUAAAUAUAAACACCUCAAUAGGGGCUCUAACACUGAUUUUAUCAUUUGCUGCUUGUGUGUAUGGUUAAAGAAAGGCAAUUGUGUUUUAAUUUUCUGCAAGCUUUCGUUUGCUGAAUUUUAUGCAUAUAUUUUCCUCCCUUUUGUGAACUUCCUUUUUGUAGUUCUAAUUCCAUUUUUGGUGUCUGCAGUUUUAAAAGUAUAAAGAUGGCAGAGACAUUCCUAUUUACCUCAGAGUCGGUGAACGAGGGACACCCUGACAAGCUCUGCGACCAAAUCUCCGAUGCUGUCCUCGACGCUUGCCUCGAGCAGGACCCAGACAGCAAAGUUGCCUGCGAAACAUGCACCAAAACCAACUUGGUCAUGGUCUUCGGAGAAAUCACGACCAAGGCCAACGUUGACUACGAGAAGAUAGUGCGUGACACCUGCAGGAACAUCGGCUUCGUCUCAAAUGAUGUGGGACUGGAUGCCGACAACUGCAAGGUCCUCGUCAACAUUGAGCAGCAGAGCCCUGAUAUUGCUCAGGGUGUACACGGCCACCUUACCAAAAAACCUGAAGAAAUUGGUGCUGGUGACCAGGGUCACAUGUUUGGCUAUGCCACUGAUGAAACCCCUGAAUUGAUGCCAUUGAGCCAUGUUCUUGCAACAAAACUCGGUGCUCGUCUCACCGAGGUUCGCAAGAACGGUACCUGCCCUUGGCUGAGGCCUGAUGGGAAGACCCAAGUGACCGUUGAGUAUUACAAUGACAAUGGUGCCAGGGUUCCUAUUCGUGUACACACCGUGCUAAUCUCCACCCAACACGACGAGACUGUCACCAAUGACGAAAUUGCUGCUGACCUCAAAGAGCAUGUGAUCAAGCCUGUGAUCCCAGAGAAGUACCUUGAUGAGAAGACCAUUUUCCACUUGAACCCUUCAGGCCGUUUUGUCAUUGGUGGCCCUCAUGGCGAUGCUGGUCUCACCGGCCGCAAGAUCAUUAUCGAUACUUAUGGAGGAUGGGGUGCUCAUGGUGGUGGUGCUUUCUCCGGGAAGGACCCUACCAAGGUUGAUAGGAGUGGUGCUUACAUUGUGAGACAGGCUGCUAAGAGCAUUGUGGCAAGUGGACUUGCCAGAAGGUGCAUUGUGCAAGUGUCUUAUGCCAUUGGUGUGCCUGAGCCUUUGUCUGUGUUUGUUGACACCUAUGGCACUGGGAAGAUCCAUGAUAAGGAGAUUCUCAACAUUGUGAAGGAAAACUUUGAUUUCAGGCCUGGUAUGAUCUCCAUCAACCUUGAUCUCAAGAGGGGUGGAAAUAACAGGUUUUUGAAGACUGCUGCCUAUGGACACUUUGGAAGAGAAGACCCUGACUUCACAUGGGAAGUGGUCAAACCCCUCAAGUGGGAGAAGGCCUAAGUAAUUCAUUCCACUGCUCUAUGCUGGAAGUUUUUUGAGCGUUGCCCUUAUAAUAUGUCUAAUAUCCAUAACUUUCCACGUCUCUUACUCUGUGUGUUUCUCUCCUCUUCCUCCUAUUUUGUUAUUUGUAUGUUCUUUUGUAAUUUUUUACGUGAUCAACUAAAAACAUGUACUCUCUGUUUGUAUGUAUGCCCUACCAAUGUGUCUCUUAAUAUCAAUAUCAAAAAGAGAGUGUUCAAGUUAAUGUUUGGAUUCCAAUGCUUCUCUCGAUGAAGUUCGAGCUGCAAAUUUGGUCAUAUGAUAAAUGCUAGGCAAGUGUGUUGUUGUAUACAUAAAAACUGCUAAAACUAAGGUGUUAAAUAUUACUGGUCAUGUAAGAUAUUGUUUUCUAAGUUUAUAGUUAGUAGUAAAUAAUAGUUACACUAUUAAACAAAGUAAAACCUUUCAAAAAAAGAAAACAAAGUAAAUCAUAUUUUAUGUCACGUCCUCCAGAAACAAAGCUACUGGCAUCUUUUACUUGCUAAUUAUUGUAGUAUCUUGUUAUGUUGCUUUUUGUUUACCUUCCCGUCUUCAUCACCAUUGGUAUUGAGAAAACAAGUUUGAACAAUGUGCACAUUUCGAGAACAAGGACAACUUGAUUAAGUGCUGUGUCAAAGUUCAGUGAGUAAUAAUUGAUUAUUUCUCAUUUAAUUUUAUGAUUUAUUUUUUGUCCAAAAAAUAGGAAGUCUUCUCUAACAUUUGUUAAUCUAUUGAUUGGUACACCAUCGUGCUGCUAUGGCCCCUAUAUAUCUUACUUUUUCUUUUUCUUUUUUUUUUUUCCGUUUACAGAAAAACUUAUUGAAACAAAACCAUAAUACUAGUCUUUAGGAUUUGGCUAGGGAGGAAUAGAAUAUUGAAAAAAUGGUAAGCAACAAGACUAUAAAAUAUAUAUUUUCAAAUGAGCAAUAAAAUAUAUAAAUAUAUGAAAUUAAUUCUAAACUUAAAUCAAAAAAUAAUUAUUUAUAAUUAAAAUUUUAACAUUUACUUUCCUAAUAAAUUCAUCAUUUAUGAGCCUUUUAAUUACUACAGUAUGUUAGAUAGUAUCAAACACUAUUAUUCGAACCAAAAAACACUAUUAUUGUACAAAUAAAUAAUGCGACAAAAAUAGAAAAAAAAAUUACAUAAAUUGUUAUAUACUUUUAUUAUAUGAUCAUAAUAUUUAAUUUAGACAAGUUUUGAUAUAUAUAAUUGCUUAAAAAAUUACUGUUCUAGAAAUAUUCCAUAGCAUUCAUAAUUUCAUUUUAUCUUUCUUUAUAUGACAUCAUAUUAUUUAUCAUACUAUAUCUCUUUCUCACAUUAAGUGUAAAAAAAAGUUAAAAAAUCUCCACCAUUAAUUUUUGAAUUUAGACUGUGAUUGCAACUUACACUUUGUCCUCAAUAGCUCCCUCCCCCUUCGAAAAAAGAAACUACAACGAGUCAUUUGGACUAUCCAUAUAUCUGAGUCCGACAACCAACGUUUCCGUUCAUCAAGUCGGCCCAAGAUAGUCAUGUAAACCCAUGGUGUCUGAGAACAACAAAUUCUUAUCGACCAAAAAUGAUAAUUGGACAACUAAAAUCUUACCAAAAAUGAAAAAACAAAAAUAAAAUCUGAUCCGAAUAACAAUGAAAAGGAAAGAACAAAAAAAAUUCUUCGGCACACUGAGGGGAAACCAUCAACGGGUCAUCUUAUAAGAACAGGUGGAGCCAUAGAAACCCUAUCCUUUGAUUGAUUAAGAGCAAAAGAACAAAAAGAUGUUUGAUCUCUCGAGAAAUAAUGCUGUUGCCUUUGUCAUAACGAUUUUGAACUUUUGAUAUAUAAUCUUAAGCCACUAGUAAGCAAUUUCACGUAGCCCAAUCCACACAUUGGACUACUAUUAAGUAUCAACAAUUCAUUCAUAUGUCCAGACAAGGAGAAAUUAAUUUUAUGAAAUCAAAACAUAAAAGAUAUUUAAUAUAAAUAUAAUAUCUAUGGAAUAAAAUCACUUUUUAUGUAUUUAUUUUUUUAAUAAAAAAACAACACAUCACUACAAAAAAAAUUCUCUUUCGUUUAAAUAGCAGCAUUUGUUCUUUUGGUAGUUAGUUAUAUAGUUAUGUGUUUUUUUAAGAAAGUUAUGUGUUAUUUUUUAUAAAAAAAAAAUAUUAGGUAACACUUUAAAGAUAUUUUACAUUUUCAUUUAAUCAUGGAUUACCAAUUACAGUGAAAUUAUUAACUAUUAUGAUAAUUAUCCUAAAAAAUUAUAUUUAAGGUCAUUUUUAAUUGAUGAAUAUUGGAUAAUGUCAUUUUUUUAUACUAACAUUAAAAUUAUUUUUUUUUUCAAAAUGAUUUAUAAGUUAGGCUAUGUUCAGUUAGAUAUUUUAGUUAAUUUUUAAAUUUUUUUAUUAACUAAAAAACUCAUUUGAUUGUUUGGUAAAAAAAAUUAAUAGUUUCUAAUGUUUUUUAAAAUUUUGGUUUCUAACUUAUAGUUUUUUAUUUUUAUUCUUAAUAUAUUUAUUCAUUUUAUUUGUUAUUUUUUAAAAUAAAUCAUGAUUUUAUUAUUUUUCUGUCAUUUUGUAUUUUUUAGUUAUUUCAAUAAUUAAUUUUACUAAAUAUUUUUAAUUUAAUAAACUGAUUUUUCAACUACUAGUUUUUCAACUUUCAAUUAACUUUCUAAUUUUCAAUUAGUUUUUUUUUUGUUAUUUUUGCCGAAGAUAAGCUUAAUGAGUUAAUGAUAAUGUAGUACCAAUAUAAAAAUUUUGUACAAUAAUUAAAGGAAAAAAAAACUUUACAAGCGCAUUGAAUUAAAUUCAUCCGAUACAUGCUGCUUACAAGUUACAACAGUUUAUUACCCGCACGUUUAGUGUCGCAUUUUUUGGUCAUGAACGUGUAUUAAGUUGAAGAAAGUAAUAAUAAUAAUGGCUGUAAAAAAAAAAGAAGAAAGUAAUAAUACUUGGUUCUUCCUUACUGUGAUUAUGAACAAUUUGACGAAAAUUUUGAAGAAAACUUAAAUGAUGAAAGUUAAGUGCUAUGUGGGAUGGGUGAAGAUAAACAAUUCACCAUGAACAGUUGGGGUAAUGGCGUGAUGCACAGAUUGCUUUUGGAAAGUGCCAAUGUGACAUGAAAUUGCAAAUUUUGAAAGAAAACACGUGUGUGGUGCUUCUAUUCUUCUGUCAUGGAUGAGUGCCAAGGGAAUGAUCAAUGAAUGGAGCUAAACAGUCAUUUUUUAAUAAUCGUAUCAUUUGCUGCGGAUUAUUUAUUCAUUUUAUUAAUGAGUAAAUAAUAUACCAAUUACAUUUAAUUUUAAAUAUUCUGUAAAUAUUUCUUAAUUUUUUUUUAUCACAUCAUUAACUUAUUAAACUUAUUUUUUUCUUUACAGGUGUUAAAUACUUGAAUAACAUUUAGGAAUAUAAUUAUUUUCUUUACCGGUGUUAAUUUUUCUUUAUUGGUGUUAAACUUAAAUAAUAUACUUAUUUUUUUAUCUUUCCUUUCCUAAUAACUCAUUUCUAUUAGGAAUAUAAUUAAAUAUUUUCAUCAAGAUCAUUUUUUUAUUUAUUUAUAAUACUCAAAUAAAGAUGUGAUAGAAAAGUAUAUAAAAAUAAGAUAGCAAUGAAAUAAAAUUUUAAUUAAUAUUUUUUAAUAAAAAUAUCAAAAUAAGUUUUUUUUUCAUUUUCUUUGCAAUUAUUGAAAAAAUAAAAUGAGAUUAAUAAUCAUAAACUAAUAGUGUAAAAUAAUUUUAUAUUAUUAUUCAAUUAUAAAUUAUUAUUAAUAUGAUUAGGAUCAUUAUGUAAAAUUGUUUUGAGUGUAUAUUUUAUUUUCUCAAAUAAAAUAUAAAAUAAUUUAAUAAUUUUGAGAUGAUUAACUAAAAAUUAAAAAUAAAAUCAAACACCCUUUUUUUUCUCACUUUUCACUACUGUAUUUUCACCUGUCAAUUUUUUUUAUCUCGUGUCUAUACUUUUUUUUUAAAGAAAAAUAGUCUUAUGUUUGUUUUAACUACUUUUUUUUGGAAAUAUAUUUUAAGAAAUUACAAGUUUUUACUUUUUAGAAAUUUAAACAGAUUAAUUUAACUCCGUUGAUAUUCUAUACAGUAUUUGUCUCCCCAAUUUGAAAUAUUAGUCGUGUUUUUUUAUCAGAUACUAUUAUUGAAGGAAUACAAGAAGAUGCACUCACAUAAUUUAUUUCAUUAAUAUCAAAUUAUUUUAAGCAAUGAAAAUGUUAAGAUAAAAUAAGAGGAAAAAAAGAUUAUAUAUUAUUUUUGUGAGUUUAAUAGUCAUAUAUUAACCUUCUAAAACAUUUUUGCAGUCAGUGUAUUAUUCUUUUAUCUUAUUUUAUUUUAUGUUGUCAUCAUCUCAUUACAAAUUAUUAUUAUAUAUAUAAUAAAUUUAUUAAGUUUUAUAAUAAUUAUCUUUAAAAUUAUAACAAGAAUUGUAAUAGAAUAAAAAUGUAAUUUCAUACCAUCAUUACCAUUAAAGUCAUAAAAUAAAGUUAACCAUAACUAAUAAUUCUCUUUUAUGUUUUCACUCAAUAAAAUAAAAUAUAUGAUUUAAAAUGAAAAUUUUAAUUCUAUAACUAAUAUAUUUUUUCCUCUUUUGUUUAACACAAUUAUUUAAUUAUAAAUUACAGUUUAAAUUAUUUUAAAAUAGUUAUUUUAAAAAUUAAUAAUUUUAUUAUAUAUAAUAAAUUAUGAUUAGAUAAGUGUGUGUAAAAAAAUUUAUAUUAUUAAUACAUAAUUUUUCUCUCUCUAGUAUUUUAAAUUUGACAAAGUAUUUAUGUUAAAAGAAAAUAUGAUAAAAAAAUUAAUAUUUAGAGAAAGAAAUUUAUUCAAAUAUGAUUUGAAUAAAAAUAUUUUUAAUAGAAGAUAUAUGCUGUAAAAAAAAAAAAAUUGUUGGGCAUGACGAGGAACAUGUCAUGAUCCAUCGAAAGCAUUUUCUGACAUCAAAGUCCACUUUGUUUAGUGGUAAAAGCAAAUAACGAAAAUAGGACACUACUUUCUAAUUUCUAUCUUCGUCUUUAUAUCGCCUUGAAGCAAAAUUUCCAUUCAUACUGGAACAUGUGUUUGGAUCAUUGGAUUAUGUCAGACAACAUAAAGGGAAAAUUUUAACUUUUUAUGACCAGUAAGUGAGUUUCUGGGAACAUGCUUGCUUUUAGCUUUAAGUAUAUUAAUUGUUAAUUUUUAUUUAUCGUGUCACACGGUUUAGCAAUUAAAAUAUUUUAAUAAUUUCUGCUACAGACAUUUAAAAAUUAAAAUUAAAGAAAAAUAUUUUUUUAAUUAUCUGUAAAGAUGAAAAUAUUUUAUCAAAUUAAAUAAUUUAUAAAUAAUAAUAUAAAUUUGAAAAAUUUUGUUCCCUAAAAGGAUACAUUUAAUUUCUCAUUUUCAAUAAAAAAAAAUGAUUUAUGAUACAUUUCUUGAAAAAGGUUAAGGACAUAAAAUAUAAGACAUGUCAAUGAGAAGCAAACAUAUAAAAUAAUUAUUAUUAAAAUAUAUUUGAUUUGAUAAAAUAUUUUAUUUUGUAACCCGUUUUUUAAAAUGAUUAUAAAAUUCUACUUUAUUUUUAUUUUUCAUGUAGAAAAUAUUAAAAACUGAAAUAAAAUGAAAAUAAUAUGAUAUAAUUUUAAUUAUUUUAAAAGUAAAUAACAUAAAACUAGUUAUAAGGUUUAUUAUGUGUGUAGAUAAAAGAAACUUUUAUUAUUUUAUAUAAUAUAUUUUUUCACUCAAGAACAAUAUAUUUAUGAUUUUAUUUCAACAUCUCAACACAUAUAUGAUCAGAUGGCUUAUUUCUUUUGAAUCAAGUGAAACUAUUUUUUAUUUUUAUAGAACACAGUUAUUUUUUAUGCAGAGAUAAUUUUGCUCAAAAUUAAUAGGAUACGAUUAUUGGGAGCAAAAAAGUUAUCCCUUUGAGAAUUUAGCUUAGCGUCGUUAUAUAUUUUAGAUUCAAAUUUAAGAUAUCUAAUUAAACUAAAAUAGAUCUCUAAAGUAAUUAAAUAGAAAUAUAUUAUAUUUAAAUUUUAGUGCAUUAAAAUUAUUGAUGCAUAUAUUAAAAUUUAUAAUAAACACAUUUAUUUACUUUAAAGCCAAGUUCAUUAUAAGCGAGUCUUAUAUAUAUAUAUAUAUAUAUAUAUAUAUAUAAUGCAAAUCAAACAAUAUUCACUUUUUUGUAAUAAAUAUUGCUAUUUUUUCUUUAUUUAAAAUUUGAAUAAAAAUAACAAAAAAAGAGAAAAAUGAAUUGAACUGACUUGCCUUGACAUGACCUUAUCAUCAUUAUUACUAAUUUACUAUCUUUUACUAACUUUUGAGCGUGCAAUUUCCAAAACCACAAAAAUAGUGAGACCUACCAAACCUAUGAUCAAGAAAGAAAAAGAAAAAAGAUGCAUUCACACACAAUGUGAAAUGGAGGAAUAUGAGAGAGAAAAAAAAAAAAGAUUUGUUGCAACUAUAAAAAUAGAUGGAGCUUUCGGUGUAGCUGGCUAAAUAAGACAUCUAAAGAUCUCCAUUACCAGCCAUACUAUAUAGUAUAUAUCUUCCUUCAUUUAAGAUUUACUGGCUCAGCUUCUAAGGUGCUCAACUCUUUUAUUCCAACUUUCUUUCUUUCUCCUUUGCUUCUUUUUUCCCCCCUCCCUGCACUCUCUUUCUUUGUUUAAUGUUACGUGCACAAGUAAUUCUUACACGAACAUAAUGUUUAUAAAUAUAAUCAAUUGAAAGCUUAAGAUAUAUUUAAAUCAUUAUAAAAUUUAUGCUCAAAGUCACGUUAAGUUAGUUACUUAACUGUUAUAUUAGAUUGCUAAUUUCAUAUGUUAGUUUGCACAAACAUUGCUUUAUACUUAGAUGUGAAUGGGCUUGAAUACUUUUUGAGCUAGCCUGACAAGAAGUGUGGCUAGGCUAGAAAAUGUUAGAGUGUUGCUAGGUGCACCCAGCAUUAUUGCUGGUGCACCCAGCAUUCUUUUAAAAUAACAAAACUGUCCUUACUAAUUUCUCCCCUUAUAGAUCAAGUUGAUCCGUAAAUUGAUUUUUAAGACUUACGGAUCAACUUGAUCUGUAAGUCUUAAAAAUCAACUUACGGAUCAACUUGAUCCGUAAAAGACUUACGGAUCAAGUUGAUCCGUAAAAUACUUAUGGAUCAAGUUGAUCCGUAAGUUUUAAAAAUUAACUUACGGAUCAACUUGAUCGGUAAGAAAUAUUUUUGUCUUUUUGUGAUUAAUGCUGGGUGCACCACCAAUAAUGCUAGGUGCACCUAGCAGCACUCAAAAUAUUUAAGCCCGAAAAACUUUAUUGGCUCGAGUUGUGAACAACCCAAUAAUCAAUCUCUUACACACUGUAUCAGGCUGCUAUUCCUACCCCCGUUUUUUCUCAGCCCAUAUUGUGUUUGCUGCUUGUCCCAAUAAUCAAUCUCUUACACACUGUAUCAGGCUGCUAUUCCUACCCCCGUUUUUUCUCAGCCCAUAUUGUGUUUGCUGCUUGUCCCAUAAAUAUUCCUGUCAGAACUGUGUUUCGGUUACAUAAUAUACACAGUGCAAACAACUUUAAAAAUAAGACACCGACUAUUUUCAAUUAUCAUUUUAUUUUUUAGAUUUUAUUAUUUAAGCUAGUUUUUUUUAACUGACAUAGCGAGUGAAGUAGAGGAUGGAGGGAAGAGUAAAUUAAAAAAAAGAAAAAGAAAAGAAAAACAAGAAGAAAGACAAUGAGUUUUUGGAUGGAAAUUUUUAUACUCAAUGUAUUUUAUCAUUUUUAUGUCAUUUUAUAUUUUUUAACUACUUCAAUAAUUAAAUUUAUCAAAUACUUAUAAUUUAAUAUGUUAUUUUUAGUUUUCAAGUAUCUGUUAGCUUUUGAGUUAGUUUUAUCGAAUAUAAUCUUAUAAUAAGGGAUAAAAAAAUUAUUAACUAUAUUUUACAAACAAAGACAAAUAAGUUGUUUUUAAUUGAGAUUAAUAUAAUUAAAUAUAAUUAAUUAAUUCGUAAAUCAAAUUUUUUUAAUAUUUAAGACUUGAGAAAGUACUAAUAAGUAGCCAAGUCGGCAAAAACUCCAUACUAUGUACAACGAUGAAACAACCUAAACGAAAGAGAGAGAGAGAGAAAAUGCAUAAAAACUUCUCAUAAAUAAGAAUUGAGGUUCAACAGAUUAUAUAUAUAUAUAUAUAUAUGCAAUACAUAAAAUAUAUAGUAAUAUAAAUUAGGAUGAAUCUCACAUUUUGAUAAUGAUAGAGGAUUAUCGUAAAAAAAAAAACAGAGGAUUGAGGGAAAAGUAAAUUAAAAAAACAAAAGAAAAGGGGAAAAAGGUUAAAAAAAGGUGUGAGAGUUUUUGGAGGAUAUUUUUUUAUUUAUGAGAGUGAAAUAAUAAUAAUAAUUCUAUUCGUAUCUAUAAUUAAAAAAACUAAUUUCAUGUUUAAUAAAAAAAUUAGUCAACUUUAUUAAAUUAUAUCAAUUUGAAUUAAAAAACAAUCUUUUUCUCUAAUAAAUUAUUUUUUUUAGUGAAACUUCAUAUCAAACAUAAAUCUCCUAUUAAAUGACAAAUGCUUUAAAGAUAAUUUCAUUAAUGAGAUAAAAAUAAUUGAAAUUUAUUUAUAUUUAAAAAUAAAAAAAUAAUAUUUUUUAUGUAGCGGAUCCAGAUUCUAUUUAAUUAAAAAUAAUUAAAGAGUCUCCAAUUAACAAUUUUUCAACCAUUAGAUUAAAUUGAGGGUUUAGAUUUGAUCACGUUUCCAAUUAAUAAAUAUUGUUGUUUUAAAAAAUAUAUUAAUUUUUUCUAAUAUUCAAUCUCUUUCAUGCACGAGACCAAAAUCUCUUCCUCGUUCACGUGAUUGCUUCUACCAGCAUGGCCGAUGACGGACAAAGCAUGGCCGAUGACGGACGAUGGGUGUAAAACGUCGACGGAUGACUUCUCUCCUCUCUCACUUUUUUCCGAUGUGGUUUAAAUCCGGUGAGGUCACCACGGUCUCUCACACACAUUUUCUGGCAAGGUAGCUAUUCUCUCUCCCUUUUUUGGUGCUUUUCGGCAAGAUCACAUUCUUUAUGGGUUUUCGUUCAGGUAAGGUGUCCUUUUCGACACGAUUUUUGUUUUCGCCCUUUUUUUGAGUUUCUAUUGUGUGUUUUUGCCUUUUUGGCUUUUCACAUUUCAUGGUUAAAAGUGAUAACUAACGAUUCAUAAGUUUGUUGUUUCUUAACUUUGUUAUUAGUUGUCUCAAUUUUCUUCAUUUUUUUAAAACUAAUAUCUCUUUGUGUUCUUUCUACUAAAGUUUAAAUCCUGCAUUUAAAGGGAGAGAAAAGAACUACCUCGUCGAAAAACAUAUGAAGUGAUAGUGAUGACCUAGUUGGAUUUAAACCAUGUUGAAAAAAAGCGAGAGAGGAGAGGAGUCAUCCAUUGAUGUUCGACACCCAUCGUUUGUCGAUGUUUGACACCAGUCGUCUGUCAUCGACCGUGUUGAUAGAAGUAGUUGUAGGAAUGAGAAAGGAAUUUUGGUCUCGUGCGCGAAAGAGAUUGAAUAUUAGAAAUAUUUAAUAUAUUUUUUAAAACAACAAUAUUUAUUAAUUAAAAACAUGACCAAAUCUAAGCCUUCAAUUUAAUCUAAUGGUUGAAAAUUUGUUGAUCGGAGACACUUCAAUUAUUUCCAAUUAUUUACAUUACUCAUGUAUAGUGGUGAACCAACAAAAGAAAUAGGUAAUAAUAAAAGUAACAAAUAAAUGAACAUAUAGUAAAUGAAUGUUCGAAUUAAAAUACUCAUUAAUGAUAUCAUUAAAUUUUUUAUAUUUUUUUCAAUACGUAAUAAUAAAUGCACAUUUAAAACCCAUUUUGUAUUAAAUGUUCUAUUAUUUAAUAUGAUUCAUUAAAUAGGUAGUAAAAAAUAAAAUAUUAGCCAUAAAUAGUAACCGAGCUAUGACAUUUAAAGACCUACAUUAUUACCAGCCAUACGAUCCUCUUCCAUUUGAGAUUUACUGGCUCAGCUUGUAAGAGAACCUCACUCCACUACAACCAGCAGGUGCUCAAUUUCUUUCUUUCUCCUUUGGUUUGAAUGGGUGUCUUAUCCUCACUUUGAUUUUUUUCCCCUUACUGCACUCUCUUUCUCUGUUUAAUGUUACACGCAGGAGUAAUUCUUACACGAACAUAAUGUUUAUAAAUAUAAUAAGAAUUUUGCUAAUGAGUGUCCUUAGAGUAUUGAAUAAAAAAAUUUUAAAAAAUAUUUAUUAUGUAAAACAUAAAAAAAAUCACAUGCAUUAUAAUUUUAUACAUUCGAAUAUUUUUUUUUAUUUUUAAUUCUUGAAUCAUAUAAUAAUCAAUUGAAAGCUUAAUAUAUAUUAAAAUCAUUAUAAAGUUUAUGCUGAAAGUCACGUUAAAGACUACAUUAGAUAGCUAAUUACUUUGAUGUGUUAGUUUGCACAAACAUUGCUUUAUACUUAGAUGUGAAUGGGGUUGAAUCUAGUGUAUUAGAUACAGUUUUCAGCACAUAUUGUGCGUGGUAAAAUCUUGUUGUAAAUUUCAAUUACUGUGUGACAAGUUGUGAUUAGAAAAUAAGAAAGUUCCAAAACAAGACAGGCCAGGCACCGCUGCAUUGCUGGAGACUGAAAGACAAAGACACUCAUCCAUCCUGAUAGGAAGCCCGGAAUUAUUUUUUGUACCCACGCUAUCUUUUUUACGUUACUUUCAAUUAUUUUAUUAAAAUUUUCAAUCUUAAUUUAAAAAAGUAUUUUAAUUUAAUUUUUUAAUAUAUUAAAUAUUUUUCCAUAAAUUUAAUUUUAGAAAGUGAUUUGUAAAACAUUUGAACUAGUGUUUAUAGAUGUGAUUUAUAAACCAAUUUUAGAAUUAAAUUUUCAAAAAUAUAUCAAAUGUAUUUUGAAAUUAAAUUAUCAAUAAAUGAUAAAAAGAAUGCUCGAGCAAAAAUAAUUACAUAAUACGAAGCGCUGGAAAAAAAAGUCAAAGUUAGUUAUUGUGGUGGCCACUGGCCAAUGCGGUCAUGAUGCCCAUAUGAUAAUUCCAUGUAGCACGGAAAUGAAGUGAAAUAAUUUAUUUAAAUCGUACAAUCAACGGGAGAAAUAAUUACAUUAAGAGUUAAUACAUUUAUUAUAUAUGACGGUUUUUCAUUAAAUGAAAGCAUAAAAAAUUGUACAUAACAUAAACAAUUAAAAAUUUAAACUAUUGAACACUUUAUUUGUGUAUAUUGUAAUCGUAAUUUUUUAUAUGAAAAUGUCUAUAUAUCUAAUUGUAAUCAUUCCCUCACAUGAUACCCGAGAUUUAAAGAAAAAGAAAAAUGCAUACGCAAGAAAAUAAUAUAAAUUAUAUCAUUAAAAAUAAUUUUAUUAGUUUAAUUUGCAUGUAUUUUGAGUAUAUAGUUUUUUUUACUAUCAAUUAAUUAAAAAUCACCAUAUAUAACUUUCAAAUUAAUUAUUAUAAAAAUUAAUAAUUUUACUGAACAUGUUUAAUUUAUUAUUGGACAAUAGUGUAAUUUUUUAAACUGUUAGGGUAUUUAAGUUAAAUUUUAAUUUUAUUGUUACAUAAAAGAAUCAUCCUCCGAUUUAACUUUUAAUUGUUAAAUGAUUUUAGAAAUUUGUGCAGGUAAUACCAACCAAGCAGCAUUAGAGGAUAGAAUACAUCAUCAUGUGCUUUUCACAUUACAGGUACUAUAUGUCCAGCAAAUUCUUGGAUCUCAUAUCAUAUCUAGAUGAGUCACAACUUUGAAAACAAGUCAGUGGCUAUUUUCAAUAUAUUUUUUUAUUCAUCCAGCCGCCACUGAUCUUUGAAAGUCCACAUGCAUUAUCAUAUUAAUUAGCUAUUCAACAAAUUCAUGCUGGAAAUGGAAUUUACGUGAAUUUGCUGAAGAAAAUUUGGUGUGACUAAAGAGGAUUUAAAUUCAAAUUUGAUCUUUUGUUGAACAAAAUAAAAAUUAUCAAUUUAAAAAAAAUAAAUAACAUCACAUUUUCCUUGGCACAUAACUUGACGUUAUUAAUAAUUGAAAGUUAUAAUAUUAUAUUAUAUGGUUAUUUCCUUCCUCUUUCCUCGUCUUCAUGGAAAGUGCAUGGCUCCACCGUCAGUAAAAAAAUGCCAAGUGAUAUGCAUCUUCGGCGUCUUCAUCCAGAAAAGCACUUAUUAUAGCUACGCAUCGUAAUUUCAUAAAUAUAUUAUAUUCUUUGGCGGACCCAAGCUAAACGAACGCUGAUUAGAUUGAAGUUAACUUUUAAUAUUUUUUAAUAAAAUCACAACACAAAAGUGCUCUUGGGAGAGACACAUUUGGGUUAUCACCACUUACGCUUGAAAAACUUUAGCUUAGACAAAAGUAAAAUUGAUCCCAUUUUAAGUUUUAGUUUUUAUAUGUAAAUAUAAAAUUACUAUAAAUACUUUCUGAAAUAUUAAUUCACUAAUAAAAUUUGUGUCAAUAGACCAUUAACAAGUAGUUAGAUGAUAUUAAAUUUAUUUAUUUUUGAAUAAAAUUUUAAAUUUGAGUCAUAUGAAUGAAUAAAAUAUUAAAAAUGAACAGUUAGAUUUUUUAACAAAAAUUAAUGAUUAAUAAAAUUGAUAAGUGUUUGAUAACAAUAAUAUUAUAAAAAAAACUUAAAAUAGAGAAAAUCACAAGAGCAAUAGUUUAACGUAAAAGAUAUAACAACCGUUUGCAGUAAUCACUUUUCCAAUUACUACCUUCAAUUCAAAGACAACAUGUUAUUAUAAUAUGAACUAAAAAACAUGCUUUCAUGGGAAAAAACCAAUCUGCACAAGUACUUUCUGUGCUGGUCAAUGAUGAAUGAGGAGAUUAAAAAACAAUAACUAAAUGAAAGAGAGAGAGAGAGAGAGAGAGAGAGAGAGAGAGAGAGAGGCACCCCAAAUUAAACAAGCACAACAACUCUUCUUUGGUCUUGUAGAUGUAACAAAACAGCUCUCUCUUUAUGCAAUUGAAUGCACCUUUGACAAUCAUACGACCAGAUUGGAUUGUUUCCCCGUCAAGGGGGCCACACAAGAGGUGGCUACUAUAGGAUCUUCUUCACACAAGAGCUUUCCUUGUUUAAAAGGAGAAACAAAAACACACACUUUAGUUUUUUCUUUCUGAGUGAAGACUUUUCUUUCUCCCUUCCAUGCAUCCCCCCACAAUCUGUAACAAUCAUUGGCAACUUCUGAGAUCAUAUCAGUGAUUGUGAGGAGCUUGAGGCUUAACAGCUCCAGCAAUAAUAGCUACUGCUUCAAGCAAAGCUAAGUUCAAUUCUUCCAAUGGAGUUAACUCCAAGAGGAAGAACUCAAGGUCAUGUGUUGACCUUUGAGAGAGAUGCAGAUUCCUUUGUGGAGGAAGAUAAGGAGCUUCAGUCCAAGUGGGCUGCUAUAGAGAAACUACCAACUUUCAAAAGGAUUAAGACUUCUUUUGUUGAUGUCAGUCAGGAGGAGGGUGCAAGCAGCAGCAGCACCGUCAUCACGUUGAGAAGCGGAAGCAAAAGGGUGGCUGAUGUUUCCAAGCUUGGAGCUGUGGAAAAGCGUUUGUUCAUUGACAAGCUCAUCAAGCACAUUGAGAAUGAUAACCUCCAACUGCUGCAGAAACUAAGAGAAAGGAUGGACAGGUAUUUAUUUAAACUUGCCUUGAUCAACCUGCAAAAGAUGUUCUUUCUGUUGUUGCAAACAAAAUAGGGGUAACAUUUUGUUAGAGUAAUUGGUAGAGUGGGGUAUUGAGUAUUGACAUAUUUGUCUUCUUGGUAUGGAUUCAAUUCUAAAUUAGGAUAGCUUUUGACCUGCUUUCAAGUUUCUAUUUGAUGUUAGAGACUUCCUUUUUGUGUUUCCCCCAUUGAUUGGUUUUCUUUUUAUUCAGUUUCCCACUUUGAUUGUGUAGAGACAUAGAUGGGGUACCAGUUGAUGUAGGCACUUUAUUUCAAGAAUUGACAAAUUGGUUGUUUUCAGAGUCAAUGUGAAGUUACCUACUGUGGAGGUCAAGUACAAGAACCUGAAUGUAAGAGCAGAAUGUGAGGUUGUUCAAGGGAAGGCACUGCCAACUCUUUGGAACUCUUUUUCUAGCUCACUUUCUGUAAGUACGCUUCCUCCUUGAACCUAAGCUGGCCACUCUCCUAUGACACCUAAUACUAUAUAAAGCAAUGUUAAGAGACACAAGCUUAAAAAAAAAAAAAAGGAAAGAAAUGUUUGCAUCCGUUCAUGCUAAAAUGGGCGAAACUUAUCAAUUGAACAGGGUUUCAUGAAGACUAUAUCGUGUACUUCUCAAGGAGCAGAGAUAAGCAUUCUGAAUAAUGUCAGUGGCAUCAUAAAGCCCUCAAGGUAGGUGAAUAUGUUAUGUGUGUAUGUUAUUUUAGAACACGAGAUAACUUAGAAAUGCUAACAACACACUUUUUAUUAUUGGUUGAAAUUUAUUGUAACUCAUUUAGAGUAAGACUGGGAGUGAGACCCACAUGAUUUAAUGUGUUACAAAUGAAUUUUAAACAAUAGUAAAGAGUGUUAUUAGUAUUUCUCAUUUUCAGCUAGUUACUGACAAAAUAAGUAUUCAUGUGCACAUGAAUGUGUCUCAAGCACAUGUUUUCAGUCUUUAAAAAUUCAGUCCCUUAAAAUUCACUUGUGAAAACUCUAUUAAGCAUGGAUAUUGUAUUGUCAUAAAAAAAUAUUAUGAUAAAAUUUACAAUAAAAGGGGCCAAAUUGCUAAGUAAUAAAAAAUGUUUCUGAGUGCAGGCUUACUCUUCUUCUCGGUCCACCAGGGUGUGGGAAAACCACUUUGUUAAAGGCACUUGCUGGAAAACUAGAGCAAUCUCUCAAGGUCUGCAUUUUAAACACAAUAUAUAGUGAAAUCAUUGGCAAUAUUCAUUUAGUUUGAUCAUAAUCAUAUAGAAACUUGUUUGAGCAUAACAUAAACUAAUCAGGAUUAUGCCUAGCACUACAAUUAAUGCUUCUUCUUAUAUGAAGGAAUUCUAAAAGUCCUUCAGAAGCUAAUGUAAUUGAGCAAGCUGAAUUUCCCUAUACUGCAAUCCCUGUGACAUUCUACUAUUUCUACUUAUCUUCAGGUUUCUGGAGAAAUCUCUUACAAUGGUUACAAGCUAGGUGAAUUUGUUCCCCAAAAAACAUCUGCUUACAUAAGCCAGUAUGACCUGCACGUUCCAGAGAUGACAGUGAGAGAAACGAUUGACUUUUCGGCACGCUGCCAGGGUGUUGGAGGCAGAGCUGGUAAUGUUUCUUAGUUCUUACUCAAUCCUUGAUUAUCCACGAAAUUGUAACUAAUACAGUACCGGCAGUCAUUCAUAUAUAUCCUUUGUAUUGCAGAUCUAGUGGCUGAAAUCAGCAGGAGAGAAAUAGAAGAAGGGAUCAUUCCUGACCCAGAUAUUGAUACCUAUAUGAAGGUAAUUUUAGUUUGUAAAACUCAUAUGUCAUAAUUACCAAACAACCAGUUUACAAAUAAAAUAACCAUAUUUUUGCAGGCAAUUUCAGUUGAAGGACAAAGUGAAAAUCUUCAAACUGAAUAUGUUUUAAAGGUAAAUCUGCUUCAAGCAGGGCUGAGUUAGAGUACAUAGUUAUUGAGUGGUUCAUUUAGUAUGUUUCUAUCCUUUUUGACACGUGAAUACAAACUUUUGAUAUCCUAGAUUCUUGGACUGGAUAUCUGUGCUGACAUACUGGUAGGUGAUGCUCUAGAUAGAGGCAUUUCAGGUGGACAGAAGAAAAGGCUAACUACAGGUAUGAGGAAUGAUAAAUAAUGUUUUAUAUGCCACUUUGUUGUAAUUGAAAAAUUCAGAACUCAAUAUUCUCCUUGUAACUAUAAGAACUCCUGGCUGAAAACAUAUGAAAUGCCUCACCUCUUUACUAGACCAAUGAUCACUGAUAAACUGAAGGCUAGUGAAACUUCUGCUUAGGCUGCAAAUAAACUAUUUAUUCUUCAUCUUCAUAAUAUUUUCCCCUCAAUGUAUCCAUUUAAUUUUUUUCUUUCAAAAUCCUAUGACAGGAGAAAUGAUUGUGGGUCCUAUAAAAGCUCUUUUUAUGGAUGAAAUAUCAACUGGCUUGGACAGCUCCACAACCUUUCAAAUAGUUACAUGUCUCCAGCAAUUGGUGCACAUCACUGAUGCAACUGCAGUGCUUUCACUCCUUCAACCAGCACCAGAAACCUAUGAGUUAUUUGAUGAUCUUAUAUUAAUGGCAGAGGGGAAGAUAGUAUACCAUGGCCCCCGCAGUCAAGCACUCCAAUUUUUUAAGGAUUGUGGUUUCUGGUGCCCGGAAAGAAAAGGAGUGGCAGACUUUCUUCAAGAGGUGAGAUAACAAAUGAUCCCCUCUUCUCUCCUUUUUUUUUGUGUGUGUCAUAGGGAGCCAGGCAUUGCUAACUGGACCUUAACUUUUGUUGAGUACUUAGCUACCAUUGAGCCGAAGCUCAAGAGAAAUUUCCUUCUUGUUUAAUCCACUUUGUCCUCAUAGCAUAGCCUCACAAAUGAAAAUUUUCAACUAUGUACAGGUAAUCUCUAAGAAGGAUCAAAGGCAAUACUGGUACCGCAAUGAUAUUCCUUACAAAUAUGUUUCAGUGGAUGAAUUCUCUCAAAUAUUCAAAUCAAGUUAUUGGGGGAGAAUGUUAAAUGAUGAGCUCUCACGGCCAGAUGAUAAAUCUGAAUCCCAUAAAAAUGCUUUAUCAUUUAGCAAGUACUCCUUGGGAAAAUUGGAUUUGUUUAAAGCUUGUAUGAAGAGAGAGAUUCUUCUCAUGAAACGGAACUCAUUUAUCUAUGUCUUUAAAACUGCACAGGUUAGUAUCAAGUUCAACCCAGCUAAGUGACACCCGAAUACUUCAACCAGUUACUUUGAUCUUACUUGUUUCCUUUUCUCAUUUUGCAGCUUACAAUCACAGCUAUCAUAACAAUGACAGUCUUCAUACGUACUCAGCGGACUGUGGACUUGAUAGGUGCAAACUAUUUAUUGGGUUCAUUGUACUAUACUCUUGUCCGCCUCAUGACUAAUGGAGUUGCAGAGUUGAUCAUGACUAUUACUAGACUCCCUGUUGUUGAUAAGCAGAAGGAAUUCUAUCUCUAUCCAGCUUGGGCUUACUGCCUUCCAUCUGCCAUUCUAAAGAUUCCAUUUUCAGUUCUUGAUUCUAUAGUUUGGACAUCCGUAACAUAUUAUGUUAUAGGCUACAGCCCUGAAAU
rnacentral:lncRNA from 1 species